UGGGUUGUGGCUCAGAGGUAGAGUGCUCACCUAGCAUGUGUGAGGCACUGGGUUCGAUCCUCAGCAUCACAC
rnacentral:tRNA from 1 species